GUGCACUACUUUUUCACAAGGGUGGAUAAAGCAGCUAUUAUAACUUAGCUAUGUCAGACUGGGUUAAUGCAGGUUCAAGAUAGUUGUGUACUGUGUUGAUGUGCUGCUAAUGGAUCAGAUUUCACUACAUUUCUUUAAUCUGAGGCCAUGCACUGUCAUCUUCAAGUGCAAUGAAGGAAGAACAGGAGCGAAUAAAAUAAAUUAAGACACCCUAUGGCUUUACUUUUCAGCAUCUUUUUUGGUUCAUUAAAAGCACGUUAUUAGACAAGAAACGAUAUUACAAGUAGAGAACCUGGACGUUCACGGUUUCCUGUGGGGAGUAUAUUCAUAGACGGAAAGUGAAACUACAGACGGUCAUUAAUACACGUCGAUCUUCCUGGAAGCAAAAAGUGGUCGUCUGUCUUGACAAGCAAAUGGAGAACUCUUCACAUUUAGGUUUGAGCAGAUGACCAGAUGCUCAGAAGUGCAGUUGAUGGUCAGCUCCUGUAGAUACACAUUAUUACAGAUACACGUUAUUUACAGACAAAAUGUCAAAUGUAUUGGUACGAGGCAUGUAGAAUCUUGUCUGGAGAAAUAAUAUUUGUAUAUGGCUAGCCCUCUGGAAGUGGAAGCGGCUUACUUUAGAUAACUGCACAUCCUUUGGUCUGAACUUAAACCCAGAGAAGUGGAUUUAUUGAAAGCGAUCACUGCAGCCUGUGCCAACAUGGGGAACAUAUGGGAUUGUUGUGGACGAAAAAACCCUUGUGACCAUACAGAGGAUGAGACUAAAGGUUUACUGCACAGCUCUGAAUCAAAGACAUCAACUAAGACAGGAACGGAUGUCUGCACCAGUCCAACUUCAGAUGAAGAGCACAGGCAUGAAGAAGAAACAAAACCACAGCUGGGUGAAUUGGUUAUAACCAAACAGCCAAAUUCAAAGUCUCAAAUUCUUAAACCACAGAGCUCUUACUCUACAACAAUAUCACUAUUACAAACUGAAGUCUCUCUUGCUGUUGAAGUUAAUCCCAAUGUUUCUCCUGAAACGGCUCCAACAGAAACUAUAAUCUUAGCUACAGAACCACCAAAAACAGAGACUGAAAUCACUGAAGAAAUCCAAAACAUUGCAGCUGAAGUCUCAGAAGCACCUCAAGACAAAGCACUUGCGGACAAUAAUGCCUCAGUGAAAGGGGAGAUAGAGGCUCAGCAUGGGUCAGUUGAAGAGGUAGACAUCACAGCUGCUCUGACAGAUGAUGCAGGUGCUACCGCAACAAGUUCAGACUCAACAGUCGCACCUGCUAUGGAGACACCUGUUA